GGGUAGGGGAACGUUGACAGUGGAGCACACCCGGAAGUAGAUAGCUCACAACAGAUUGGAUUUCAACAUUUCUGCUGCUGUAAUAUGAGAAUGUUAUGCUCGGGGAGGCACGUUUGGGACGGUGGAUGGAUAUUUAUGAUCUUCGUGAUAUUUAUGACCUAGCCGUGCUGCUGUGACGGAGCCACUGCGGCUGAGCCUCGCCCACCAUGCCGCUGGUGGUGGACGCCGUGUGGGCGCUGUGGAGCAUCACCGCCGGCAUCUACGACUACUUCCACACCAGCGCCAUGGAGGAGCGGAUCCACACGCUGGAGCACGUCCUCUCCAUCCACCAGUUUGUGAUUGCAGGCCUGUCGGCAGGCCUUGUCCUGCUCAUGGCCUACAUACUACUGAGAAAACACUAAAAACCUCCUGCAUGACGGUCAUACUGCUCCUGCUGGCAAUUUGACUGAUGGUUCAGUCCACCGAGUCUCUGUGUUUUAAUUUUUAAUCUCCGUCUGUCUGAAGCGUGGCACUUUAUCCAUUUGACGAGCUUGAAGAUUUCUAAAUGUUAAUUUAUUCAUUAAUUCAUGUUUUAAAACUCAACUAACUUAUUUAUUUCAAACAAAAGAUUCAUGGCCACCUCUGGAUCAGUGUCGUGCGGUCAGGGGAGAACUCUUCUGUAAUCCAGAAAAGUAAAAUAGAUGCUAAUAAUGAUGAGAGAACAUACAUUUUUUUUGUAUAAAUUAGUUUUUUUUAUUUGUAAUAUCAAGAACAGCGAUUUUUUUAAUGAUAAAAUUGGCUGAAUUUACACAUUGCCUGUUGAAAUACAUGAAAUAAGUGAGGCAGUGUAGUGCUGUGCCUUACCUCUGGGGGCGCUGUGUUACACACAGCAGUUGGCGCAUGCCCAUUACUGUUCUUUUUGCAUCGCUAAUAUAUUUAUUAAAUAACACAUGUUCUAUACAUGUUGACGUUCCUCAGUCUGUAUAUGUUUAAUAAAUGUGAGUGACGUAUUUAGUCUUUAUAAUCGGCUGUAAAUGCGCAGGGUGAAACAGGAAGUACCGUUAUUCAACGAUAGGGGGCAGUGUUGAGCCCCAUAAGCGCUACAGGCAACAGGUUUUCUUCUUCUGCACAUUGAAAAGACUGAAAACGGUCAGAAAACCAAUAAUACAGUCAGAACAGAACCUUUUAAGGCUGCCAGAUUUAAAAAUAUAUAUAAAAAAGGAAAGAUCAUACAUUUUCAAUUUUAAUCAGAAAAGGAAGAAGUUAGCCAAAGAAAACAUUCAAGAUUAAAAAAAAUAAAUGUGACCUUAUAUUAAAUAGUUUGUUUUAUUGCUGUUAUAUUGUUAAAUAGUAUGCAAUUGAUUAAAACACAAUUAAAAACUUUAUUAAAGGUUAAAUCUGAAAAAUAAGCUUCUAUUUUGGAUUUGUUGAAAAUGUCUGACCAGUUAAGAUCCUCACCGCACGUCACUGUCAGAAAUGGUUCCUCCAUCUCAGGCACUGGUUCCAGUUAACACAGAACUGAUAUCUUGUUUAUUAUUCUUAAUGAUUACCUAUAAACUCCAGACUAAAAUGCUCUGACAAAAGUAAUCUUGUUAUUUUUGUGUCUGUAUUUAUUUUUUGUGUGUUUAGAGGUUUCUAAGGUUUUAUACACGUGUUCUGCAGUUUCCCAUUGCUUGUCCUGUUUGUGCCAUGUGUUUAAAACAUGUUAUUUAAUUAAAUUAGGUUUUAACAGGUCAGUCCCCAUGUUUACUAUCACUGUUCACUCCUACAUGUUUGAGUGAAAACAACUGUAGUCAUGAUAUCAAAGUAAAUGUGACUAAUAAAUGUCAUUCUAAUUCA